AACGAACGCUGGCGGCAGGCCUAACACAUGCAAGUCGAGCGAGGACUUCGGUUCUAGCGGCGGACGGGUGAGUAACGCGUGGGAACGUGCCCUUUGCUUCGGAAUAGCCCUGGGAAACUGGGAGUAAUACCGGAUGAGCCCUUUGGGGGAAAGAUUUAUCGGCGAAGGAUCGGCCCGCGUUGGAUUAGGUAGUUGGUGGGGUAAUGGCCUACCAAGCCGACGAUCCAUAGCUGGUUUGAGAGGAUGAUCAGCCACACUGGGACUGAGACACGGCCCAGACUCCUACGGGAGGCAGCAGUGGGGAAUCUUAGACAAUGGGGGAAACCCUGAUCGAGCCAUGCCGCGUGAGCGAUGAAGGCCUUAGGGUUGUAAAGCUCUUUCAGCUGGGAAGAUAAUGACGGUACCAGCAGAAGAAGCCCCGGCUAACUCCGUG
rnacentral:rRNA from 1 species